rnacentral:tRNA from 1 species
UCUAUUGUGGCGGAAUGGCAACGCGUUGGGGAUAAAAGUCCCAAGUCAAAGUGAGUUCGAUUCUCACCCUAAGAU